GACGAACGCUGGCGGCGUGCUUAACACAUGCAAGUCGAGCGGUAAGGCCCUUUCGGGGGUACGACGAGCGGCGAACGGGUGAGUAACACGUGGGUGACCUGCCCUUAGCUCUGGGAUAAGCCUGGGAAACUGGGUCUAAUACCGGAUAUGACUCCAUAACGCAUGUUGUGGGGUGGAAAGCCUUGUGCGGCUAGGGAUGGGCCCGCGGCCUAUCAGCUUGUUGGUGGGGUGAUGGCCACCAAGGCGACGACGGGUAGCCGGCCUGAGAGGGCGACCGGCCACACUGGGACUGAGACACGGCCCAGACUCCUACGGGAGGCAGCAGUGGGGAAUCUUGCGCAAUGGGCGAAAGCCUGACGCAGCGACGCUGCGUGGGGAUGACGGCCUC
rnacentral:rRNA from 1 species